GACGAACGCUGGCGGCGUGCUUAACACAUGCAAGUCGAACGGAAAGGCCCUGCUUUUGUGGGGUGCUCGUGUGGCGAACGGGUGAGUAACACGUGAGUAACCUGCCCUUGACUUUGGGAUAACUUCAGGAAACUGGGGCUAAUACCGGAUAGGAGCUCCUGCUGCAUGGUGGGGGUUGGAAAGUUUCGGCGGUUGGGGAUGGACUCGCGGCUUAUCAGCUUGUUGGUGGGGUAGUGGCUUACCAAGGCUUUGACGGGUAGCCGGCCUGAGGGGGUGACCGGCUACAUUGGGACUGAGAUACGGCCCAGACUCCUACGGGAGGCAGCAGUGGGGAAUAUUGCACAAUGGGCGGAAGCCUGAUGCAGCAACGCCGCGUGCGGGAUGACGGCCUUCGGGUUGUAAACCGCUUUCGCCUGUGACGAAGCGUGAGUGACGGUAAUGGGUAAAGAAGCACCGGCUAACUAUGUG
rnacentral:rRNA from 1 species